AGGCAGAACAAGCGACCGAAAGGCGCCUGCUUGGCACGAAGGCCCUGGACGGCUCCCCACUUACCCCCUGCCACCCAUCUCUACUGGCCCCGGCCUGCGCUAAUGAAAUGCAGGCGGUAAUACAAUCCCCAGGCUCUGAAUUCCUGGAGGAUCCUGGCCAGGGGCUACCGGGAGCUGGCAGGAGGCCGGGAGGCGGGAGAGGGCUCUGAUAAAGAUCAAGUGCCCGCCUCACCCGGGGCUGCCUCCUUAAGCCUGGCCUGUCAGCCGGGCCCCAGCACACGCUUGCAGAUCUGGUCCCGCCCCGCCCCCACUGCUUGUCUGGCUUCCUGGGGAGAAAGUGUUCAAGCACAGAGAGCCUCAGGAAUGGGAGUCUAAUCAGACCCAUGUGUGGAGGAAACCUCAUGUCCUCUGCCCUUGUUCUCGCUACUUCCAUUCCCACCCAGAGGAGCCGGGAGCUGCCUGGGGGCGGGGGGUGGGGUGGGGAACCUGGUGAUCAGGGUCCCUCCCACCUCCUGAGCCAGAGCCCCCUCCUCUCUGCUCCCCUGCUGGGGAGCCCAGUCCUAGACAAGGCUUUUGAUCCUUUUUCACUCCCCAGGACCAACCAAAGCUGAAGCAGCCACUGAAAUUCAAGAUGGUUGGGACAGAGUGAGGACAAAACACGCAGCGAAAACAAGAGGCAGGAACCAAAUUCCUGGCAAAGCAUGAACAAUUAUGGCAAUAACCUGCCCGGAGGGAGUCCUGCAGUCUGUGCUUUUCGAAUGCUUCUCGUCUGGGCCGAGCUCAGGACAGGAGCUUCCACACCCCCACCGCCCCUGCUCAUUAGCCAGUGGUUCUGUGCUAGAAAGCCGCUGCCAGUCCUGGACCUUCGCUCCUUUUGGAAACACAGGCAUCUCUUCCCCUCCAAAGAAACGCACUCAAGCCCGUUGAUUGAGUAAGAGGAUUCAAGGUUUCUCAUCAGCCUCCUGCUCCCAGGUCUCCUUGGGUGCUGGAUUCUGGCAAAGUCUAGUGGAAAAGCCUGCCUGGUGAUCUUGGCUCUGCCCUGGGAAGGCCAUCCCUUCGUCGAACCCCACUUCCCUCACCUGUGAAAUAAAGACACUGGUAUCUGCCCUGCCA
rnacentral:lncRNA from 1 species